GAUGAAGAACGUAGCGAAAUGCGAUAAGUAAUGUGAAUUGCAGAAUUCAGUGAAUCAUCGAAUCUUUGAACGCACAUUGCGCCCGCCAGUAUUCUGGCGGGCAUGCCUGUUCGAGCGUCAUUUCAACCCUCAAGCACUGCUUGGUGUUGGGGACCGGCUUGCCUUCAGCGCCUGCCGCCCCCGAAAUACAGUGGCGGUCUCGCCGCAGCCUCCUCUGCGUAGUAGUUUACAACCUCGCAUACGGAGCGCGGCGCGGCCACGCCGUAAAACCCCCUACUUUCAAAGGUUGACCUCGAAUCAGGUAGGAAUACCCGCUGAACUUAAGCAUAUCAUAAGCGGAGGA
rnacentral:misc_RNA from 1 species